GACGAACGCUGGCGGCGUGCUUAACACAUGCAAGUCGAACGGAAAGGCCCUGCUUUUGUGGGGUUCUCGAGUGGCGAGCGGGUGAGUAACACGUGAGUAACCUGCCCUUGACUUUGGGAUAACUUCAGGAAACUGGGGCUAAUACCGGAUAGGAGCUCCUGCUGCAUGGGGGGGGUUGGAAAGUUUCGGCGGUUGGGGCUGGACUCGCGGCUUAUCAGCUUGUUGGGUGGGUAGUGGCUUACCAAGGCUUUGACGGGUAGCCGGCAUGGGAGGGUGACCGGCCACAUUGGGACUGAGGUACGGCGCAGACUCCUACGGGAGGCAGCAGUGGGGAGUAUUGCACAAUGGGCGGACGCGUGAUGAGGAGACGCUGCGUGCGGGAUGACGGCCUUCGGGUUGUAAACCGCUUUCGCCUGUGACGAAGCGUGAUUGACGGUAAUGGGUAAAGAAGCACCGGCUAACUACGUG
rnacentral:rRNA from 1 species